UCCUGGGUGGCUCAGUUGGUUAAGCUUCUGACUUCGGUUCAGGUCAUGAUCUCACAGUUCAUGGGUUCAAGCCCCAUAUUGGGAU
rnacentral:tRNA from 1 species